rnacentral:rRNA from 1 species
UACGGGGGGGGCAAGCGUUGUUCGGAAUUACUGGGCGUAAAGGGCUCGUAGGCGGCCAACUAAGUCAGACGUGAAAUCCCUCGGCUUAACCGGGGAACUGCAUCUGAUACUGGAUGGCUUGAGUUCGGGAGAGGGAUGCGGAAUUCCAGGUGUAGCGGUGAAAUGCGUAGAGAUGUGGAGGAACACCAGUGGCGAAGGCGGCUUUCUGGUCUGUAACUGACGCUGAGGCGCGAAAGCGUGGGGAGCAAACAGG